rnacentral:rRNA from 1 species
UACGGCGGGUGCAAGCGUUAUCCGGAUUCACUGGGUUUAAAGGGUGCGUAGGCGGGCAGGUAAGUCCGUGGUGAAAUCUCUGAGCUUAACUCAGAAACUGCCAUGGAUACUAUUUGUCUUGAAUAUUGUGGAGGUAAGCGGAAUAUGUCAUGUAGCGGUGAAAUGCUUAGAUAUGACAUAGAACACCAAUUGCGAAGGCAGCUUACUACACAGUUAUUGACGCUGAGGCACGAAAGCGUGGGGAUCAAACAGG